CUACGGGUUGCUCCAGUGAGGAAUAUUGCACAAUGGGGGGAACCCUGAUGCAGCAACGCCGCGUGGAGGAUGACGCAUUUCGGUGUGUAAACUCCUUUUAUAUGUCAAGAAAAUGACGGUAGCAUAUGAAUAAGCACCGGCUAACUCCGUGCCAGCAGCCGCAGUAAUACGGAGGGUGCAAGCGUUACUCGGAAUCACUGGGCGUAAAGGACGCGUAGGCGGGUUGGAAAGUCAGGUGUGAAAUCCUACAGCUUAACUGUAGAACUGCACUUGAAACUUCUAAUCUAGAGUAUGGGAGGGGGAGAUGGAAUUAGUGGUGUAGGGGUAAAAUCCGUAGAUAUCACUAGGAAUACCUAAAGCGAAGGCGAUCUCCUGGAACAUUACUGACGCUGAGGUGCGAAAGCGUGGGGAGCAAACAGGAUUAGAUACCCCGGUAGUC
rnacentral:rRNA from 1 species